UACGUAGGGGGCAAGCGUUGUCCGGAUUUAUUGGACGUAAAGAGCGUGUAGGCGGCCAGACAAGUCUGCUGUGAAAACUCGAGGCUCAACCUCGAGCUGUCGGUGGAAACUGUCUGGCUAGAGUCCGGAAGAGGAGAGUGGAAUUCCUGGUGUAGCGGUGAAAUGCGCAGAUAUCAGGAAGAACACCCGUGGCUAAGGCGGCUCUCUAGUACGGUACUGACGCUGAGACGCGAAAGCGUGGGGAGCGAACAGG
rnacentral:rRNA from 1 species